CCUUGUAAACUCGGGGACUUGAAACAUUCACUGUUGGUGCUGCGGCAUGCAUAUGAAGGGUUUCUCUUGGCCUCCUCGCAGGUCUGGUUGCCGGCUACCCAGUCCAGCACGAGUGGGACGCCGUCCUUGUGCUUGUCUUCAAAGGUGCGGUUGCCGAGGUCAGACUUGUCGAAGGAGAACCUUGCCUCGUCGGCAAUGAAGGCAUAGGUGCAGGGGCUGUAGUCCUUGUAGGAAGAAAUAUUGAUGAAAUAGGCCAACCCGGUCGUAAAAUUGUCCAGCUUCUCCGGGAUGUUGGUCUGGCAGCAGCCGGUGCCAGAGCACGAUCCGCUUGUGAUGUUUGCCCCUUCGAAGCAGAAGGAGGCGCACCCAGUUCCUGAUGUAUAGUUGUCCCCGCCUAAGAGGAUGCCAACGACGUUGCAGCCCAUGGUCGUGAACCUGUUCUUGGUGCUGGAUACCCAAAAUGGUUUGUCGCCAAGGUCUAGAGAAGGCCUUUGACCAGCCACCACGCCGUCGGUACUGUUGAAACAAUCCCAGCUAAUGUAAUUCAGGAUGCGUGCUUGGCCCUGGGGCAAGAAUAUCUCCUCCACUGUAAUGUUCCCCUCGCGACCGCCCAAGAAAGCUCUGGGAGUCGCAGAGCCGUUACCGACUUCGCAAGUGACCUCGAAGCCUUCCCUGAAACACCCAUCGCCGAUGCCGAAGGGGUACGGGAUGCUAACACCGCCGCAUGUAUCAUUGCAACCUGGUGACACCACGUUCGGCGACGGUGGUGCCGAUGCUGCUGCUGCCGUCGUUGUUGCUUGGAGCAGCGUCAACAACAACAGCUUAAACGCGAACGGUGGCAGCGUGAAUCCCAUCCCUUAUGCUUGCUUGAAAUUAAUUGUACCCUUAGGCUUCCAUCAGAUUUAUAAGCCCACAGAUGGCGAAGCGAGCAUAAUUCGUCGGUCAGCUGUUGUUGCUUAGAAUAAUUGCUUGAUCGAAUACUCGUUCUGCAGCCCAUGUGAAGACUUGUCAAGGCGAAGCCAGCACAUGGCAUAUACUAGAAAAUACAGUCGCUUGGAAAGCUGGAGAUUGACUGGUACAGGCCCCGUCCAAGUCUUCUUUAAGACUUGGACGGUACAGGAGGCCUACUCGCAGUUUGACUCUGGAAUCCACACCUACUCGAAGACUUGCUUGCUUGACUAUGCUUAAUCCAAGAGACAAAUAAUUAACGCCAAAUUUCCAGUAAAAGUCCCCUCUCUCUCUCUCUCUCUCUCUCUCUCUCUCUCUCUCUCUCUAUAGUUUUAUCCCUGCUUAAUGCUCGCUGAUUGGCAUGGUCGAGAGGUGGAAUAUUUGGCUACUGAAAGAUGGCGGCGACAUGCUAUUUGUAGUGUGUUUUAAUAAUUAAGGCCAAUAAAGUUGAUGAUUAUUAUUAAUUAUGUGAAAUCCUAUGUAUUAUAUUAUGAAUUUGUUUAAAAAGAUUAUUACAUUAAACGGAGUAUAAGAUGCUCACAUGAAUUCGAAUCAAGAUCCAUCAAUUGUGAAACCAUACAGUAACCAUUAGAAUGUCUCGAUAAAUAUAUUAUUAUAUUAAGUAGUUAGUCACAAAUUUGGUUAUAGUUUGGUUCAGUCGUCCAAUGGAAACUACUCCGAAAGCCAAACAAAGAAGAAGAAAGAGAAAGACAUUGACUUUAUGUAGUUCCUAUCAUCGUCAUCAUCAUCAUCUUAGCUUCUUAAUUGCCAUUUUUUAAAUGAUCAAAAGUCAAACAAGUCACCAUCUCAAAAUUUGUAGUCAGAGAGAAAGCAAGAGAGAAGUAACCAGGAAUUUGAUGAGGUCAAAUUUGAUUAUUCUAUUGAAUAAGGAAUUCAUAAAUAUAAAAAAAAAUAAGAAAUUGAGUGAUAACUAAAAGAAGUAAAUAUAAGCGUAGAAUAAAUAAAUAGGUUAUUUGAAGGAAUUCUUAUAUCUCUCGUUAUCAAAUUUGUCACGGCGAAGUAGCAAUCAAAUUUGUUACCGUGAGAAGUAGCAAUCAAAUUUGAAGGAUCUCUUAUAAUAUCUUGUUACCGUGAGAAGUAGCAAUCAAAUUUGAAGGAUCUCUUAUAAUAUCUUGUUACCGUGAGAAGUAGCAAUCAAAUUUGUUGAGACACAAAAAUUGAUAUAUUUUCAAUGUGAGAGUUCAGGAGAAUAUAGUGUAUGACUAGUGUAGCUAACUAUUUUUCAAAGCACUUAGUGUAGACAUUUGUAAAGGCUAGCACUUAGUGUAUGAGUAGUGUAGCUAACUAUCACCUUCUUAUGAUUUAUGAUUUAUGAUUGAUCCGACAAAGAAUGAUCAUCUCAGUUAUAACCUAUGUUUUCUUGUCUUUGACGUUUUGGUGUUCUGUUUAAUUUCCCAAGCAAAAUAGUAGAGGUAAUAUAUACAUAUAGUAAUACCAUCAUCGAUGACCUCGAAUAUUGUAUAGGAAGUAGAUUUGUUGGAGUUGCUACGUCACACUUAGAUUUUGGCAUGAAAAUUGACGAGAGAAAGUGUAACUCGUCAAUCAUACACACACGUCGGUGCUUCCCACACCGGUAAGGCCGCCCGAAAGAGCAUCCACGCCGCCACACGGGUGAUGCCUUCCUUGGAAAGGCCUUACCAUAUUGAUACUAAAAGAAUAAGGUGCAAAUCCAAAAUAUAUGAUGUAGAAAUAAUUUAGUUUAUGUAUUAUUUGAAUUUUUUUUUAUUAAUUUAGGGAUAAUUUGCAUAUCACAUAAGUUGUCAUGAGGUAGCAUUUAUUCAAGGCAAUGAAUAUAGAAAAAAAAAAUGGGAAGAAAUUAAAUUCAUUAUUGAUCGAAGAUUAUAAAUCUUGAUUAAAGAUUUUAAAUUUUUAUCUAUACAAAUAUAAUUUUUUUAUUAAUCAAUAAUUGUAAUUAUCUCUAUAAAUUUAAAAUAUUGAAAGAUUUUUCUAAAAAAAUGGUCAAGAAUAUUAUUUUUUAAAGAAAAUAAAUUAUUAUAUAUUUAAUUUAAUUUAAUUAAUUAAUUAAUUUAUUUAUUUAUUUCGAGCCCUUAAAAAGGACUAGAACAUUAUAAUAGAUAACCAGAAAUUGAUCAAUAAAUUAUGUUCUUCGCAUGUGUUAAUGUACGAGAUCAUAUUUGAUUUUCUUAUGGAAUGAUUUUAUCGUCCACAUGAGAAACUUGUGAAAAUAUAGGAUCUUCAUCUUCAUAGUGUUUUUCAUUAGUUAGAACCAUUUAUCUUUUGAUUAUUAUCAUUCUCAUCCUUUUAGUCAUUCAUCAUAAAAAUAUAUAUAUUUACUACAAUUGAGCUACUGACGGUAUGAAUUACUAUCAUAAUAUUUUCUAUUACUAUAUAAACUUAAAGAAAAAAGAACAAAUGUUACAAGAGAUCCUGUCUCCCGUGCUGUCUUUGACUAUAGAUUUGAACCUCCUAGCGUUUUAGGGCCCUCAUUGUCGGGCAAGAUCCGGAUUCAAGCGACCUUGCCACCGUUGAGGAAUGAAAGCUUCUUCUACGAUUCCUAAAGAAUUUUGCCAAAAUAUGAGGCACUGUUGUGAUGCCUCCUACUAGGGUUUUGCCUUCACCCUAAGACGAUUAGGGUUGAAGACGGUAUGUGAAAUAAAUGGCUUUGCGCUUGCAUUAGCUACAUCAUCCUUGUUGCCACCGAAUCACCGAGAGAUCUCCCUUCGAGUGAGAGUGAGAGGGCAAAAGAACAUAAAUAUUAAAAGAACUAUAAAGAACUAGAACAACUAAAUAAAUUAAUCAUAGAGAGAGAGCUUAUAAAAAAACACGAUUAGAGAAUGAAUAGUAUGAAUACACAAAAUAAUAAUAAUUUAAUCAAGAUACCUUUUCAUUUUUAAUUUUGUCAGCUUUGACAUAAAUUAGUUGUAGAAUUAAAGAGAUCCAAGGAAUAUUUUUGUAAGGAUAAGUGACGAAAUGACAUUUAAACUCAUAACCUCAUUGAAAGUUUUUACUAGCUAAUAUAGUUAGCAUGGAAGGAGUGCCACCUGAUAAGAUAAUUAGUCUCUUAAUUUAUUUAAAUUAAAAUUAAACUAAGAUAAUUAGUCCCUUCCUAAUGUUGGAAGAUGUCUUCUUCUCUUCUUUUCGAGAGAGAUUGAGAUACUACGAGCAUCUUGUUAUCCCUUUUAAGUCUGAAUUCAAAUAUAAAUUGAAUCUCAAUUUGAUUGAAAAUUUUAAUCAAACAAUAUUUGAUUCAAAUUAAAAAAGGAGAUAAAAAUUUUUAAAGGCGUGAAUAAUGAUUCUCUAUCCUUCAUGCAUGUUUGAUAAAAAGAUCAUCCGAGAUAUAGGAAAGUCGACGAGGAAUAAACUUAUUCAAGACAACAAAAAAUAGGAAGGCAAUAGUACUGAGAGUCUCGAUCCACAUGUGCGCCAAUGAUGUAUUGUUAUUAACACCAAAGCUCUUAACAAAUAAAUAUAAAAUUAAGUAGAUAAAAUCCUAUAAAAAAAAUAAGUAAAAAUAAAAAAGAUAAAAUUUUAUUUUUUAAAAUAUUUAGAUAAUAGCUUUACUCAAAUUUUACAUACCCAACCUCAACCAGUUUGUCACCUCUUUAUUGACUUCCUCAAACACUUUCUUUUAAAGUAUAACAAGUUAGUUUUUUUUCGUUUUUGUCGAACUAUAAUAGUUAUUACGUCUGCAAUUUCGGAUCUACUGUUCUUUCCCUAUUUUAUAAGAUCAUCACUUAUUCCAAUGAGUAUAUCAUUAGAUUCAGUCAUUUUGAUAUAAACUCUAAUUAUUUAACUGAUGGUUAUGCUAACCUUUGUAGGUUGCUUGGCUCUCCUCACACUUGGAAAUGCUUGGAAGCCAAUGCCCCCUUUUCCAGCACAUAUUGAUUCAUUAUAUAUAUAUAUAUAUAUAUAUAUAUAUAUAUAUAUAUAUAUAUAUAUAUAUAUAUAUACUUAAAAUUUUUAUAAAAAUUGAAAGCAAAUUUCAUGACAUGAAAUGAUGUAUAUAAUAUUCACACAUGGAUCUAAGUCUGAAACCUAUCAAUACACUGACCAAUAUUACCCAUAUGGAUUUAAGUUUAAAAUCUAUUACUUGUAUAAUAAUGCACUAACCAACUCGCAAAUCUCAAUAAAGAUUAAAAGAAUUAAUUAGAUCGCUGGCUCUCGUAAGUAUGUAAAUAAUUUAAAAGAAUAUGUUAUUUAUAUAACAUGUGAAAUUUUUAUGGGACUCGAUAAAACUAUAGAUCAUACUUUUUUAUUUUAUUCUAUCAUUUUUUUAAUUUUUUUCUGAAAGAAAUUGGUCAUCCAUCUUUUUAAAUAAAAAGAAAGAAUAAGAAACUUGAUCCAAUCAAAUCAAAUGGGCAAUUGAGAUUGAAAGCACAAGCGAGAUGUAUGGUUUUUUUUAGGACCUUCGCUACCAUAUAAAUAUUACAAAAUUAUUAUUAUAGUAAAAUAAUUUUUUUUCUCUUUGUAUAUUAAAAUAAGUUUUUCAUCAAAAUAUUAACCAUAAAAGUAUAAACAGUAGAAUAAUAAAUCAAUCACAAAAUGAGAUACUGAAUAUAAUAAAUUUAAAAUAAAUCUUCUUCAAAAUUUUUAGAAUAUUAUAAUAACAUCAAGAACACAUAUCUCAGCUCAAUAUUAACAUAUCAUCAUCACCAUAGAUGGAUUUAAUGAAAAAAAAAAAUUUAGAUUUCACAAAGCGGAUAUAAUAGGAAAGUAUUUUAGAGAGAAUAAACUAUAUAUCGGUAUCAUUAAGAUUAUAAAGCUUAUUGUAAAAAUUCUUCACCUAAAAUUUAGGUCAAAAUGAACGAAGUUUAGUCGUUCCAUCGAGCAAAAGCUUCCAAACCUUAACUUUCGUACUCUUUUUCUUUGUUCUUUCUUUUCUGUGUCCCUGCAGUUUCACCACAUGCACUUAUUCACACACCACUAUCUUCCUACGUCUCCGCUUUUUUUUUUUUUUUUUAAUACAUCAGACUUGGGCUCAAUGCCCAAAUCAAUCGGGCCAAGCCUACCCAUGGGCUGUACCUAAUAGGUCUUUAAAUUAUGCAUACCAAUGGACGAGACGUUGACUUGGGAUCAACUGUUGAAUAGUCAACGAUAAGGAUAGCAACUACAACUAAUGUGAAUUUGGAACGAAAUAUAGCAGCUCGUGGAGGGCAUUUUCUUUUUUCCGGUUUAGAUUUGUGAUUUUUCUUUUUGCCAUAAGGAAUCAUUUUGGAUAUGCAUGGGAUGUAUGUAAGCUUCUUGUUGUUUUAGUCUUGCGCAUACACAUGCCUUUGAAUUAUUUGGCAGAGAGACUUAGGUUGACUUGUAUCUAAUUUUUGUUAAAUAUCAAAACUUGUAAUUUAACGAACCCUAAAUCUCUUAAGCCUCUUUUACCUCUACCUUAUCUCCUCCUCCCUUCUUCUUCUUCUUAUUUCUAAAUUAGUAUUUCAUUAGCCAUCUAUUUCCACUACUUUGAUUUCAACUACCAGUUUUACAUAGAAAAAGAAAUAUAAAUUACAAUAAUGAGAGUUACAAUUCAUUAUACAUUUAUUUAUCAUUCCUGUAAUAGAAGUAACAUAAGUUACAAAACAAGCAACCAAUAAUAUUCUGUUCUGCUAAUUCGAUUUUUACAUAGAAAGAGAACCUAGUUUCUUUAUCUUCUUCAUCUUCCCGCUUUUACAUCAAAUCCCAAUUUGUUCUCUGAACUGUGGUACCCGACAGAAUCCAAGGUACAGCUCAUAGAUGAUUCACCAAGCAAUGCUUCACGUUCCUCGGGUGCAUGGUACGUUGAAGAGACCUGUAGGAACCCUCCUAAUAUAUGCAGUUUCUCAGUCACUUCUCUCAUUGUAGGCCUUUCAUCCCCGUUCAUGUUCAAACAUUCCUUUGCAAGCUCGGCAAUUUCAUGGAUGACAUCCAUGUUUUCUUUUCCCAUGAUUUGAUCAUCCAAUAUCUCUUCAAGUCGGCUAUCUUUCAUUGCUUCGAUGAAGCUUGAGGCAAGAGCUUUUCCUUGACUACUCCCAUCAUAAUAAAUUGCCUUUUUUCUUGUGAUGAGUUCCACUAUAACUACUCCAAAGCUAUAGACAUCACUCUUUGCUGUCAGUUGACGGACUAGCAAGUACUCUGGGUCCAAAUAACCAAGAGUUCCCUGAACCAUCGUUAUGAAUUGGGUUUCAUCCAAAGACACCAUCCUCGAUGCACCAAAAUCCGAUACCUUUGACACAUAAUUAUGAUCUAGAAGUAUGUUGAGUGACUUCACAUCUCCAUGAACGAUCGGAGGGGAUGCCGAUGAAUGCAAGUAAGUGAGUGCUUCAGCAGAUUCUCUAGCUAUUCGUAGACGAGUAGUCAAGGGAAUUAGUGUCCCGUCGUUACCAUGGAUGAAGUCGAAGAGGGUUCCAUUGGGGAUGAACUCAUAAACCAACAUGGGAAUUUCUACUUCCAAGCAACAACCCAAGAGCCUUACAAUGUUCUUGUGAUUGAUCUGAGAAAGAAUAAUCAUCUCCCGUACGAAUUCUUCACUUUGGUCCUUGGUGACUAUCUUAGACCUCUUGAUGGCCACUUCCCUGCCACCGUCUAUGUUUCCUUUAUAAACAGUGCCAUGGCCUCCUUGGCCAAGUUCUCGACUCUUAUUGAAAUUAUCUGUUGCCUUCUCUAGAUCCUCUUUGGUGUAUAUUUUGACAGUAUCAAUUUGCUUUGAUCUGAUUUCUUCGUAUAACCUUAAGCCUCCAUUUUGCUGGAAGAAUUUAUCUUUUUCUUUGAGAAGCUUCCUUCUUUGAAAUGCUAAGAUUAUGCAGAAGAUGCAAGUGAUGAACGAGACAAACCCAACACAAAUGCCUGCACAAAGGGAUCAGUUUCAUGUCAAUUAUUUUACAAACUCUUCCGGAGAUCGAAUUACGAGUUUUCAAAAUAGAAGAUUGUUACCGACUAUUAAUGAAGAUUAAAAGGAUAAAAAAAAUUCAAGCUUUGUUUAAGUAGAACGGCUUAUUCGAAAUAAAAACUUGAAUCCGAAUACAUUAUUUUUCCUAUUGAUUGAAGUUUUAAGAGAAGGUUUAAACUAAUACGGAAGGAAGGAAGGAUGAGAACUUGUACCUAUAACAAUCUUCGUUGAUGUCGGAAUUCCGUGAUCUCGGACACAUGGUUCCGAUUUAGGGUCCUUGCUGCUUUGACCUUUUGGGCAUGAGCAGCUGUAGUUGCCUGCUGUGUUGCUGCACGUUCCAUGACAUGUAUAGAGAUUUGGCGAGCUGCACUCGUCGAUAUCUAAGGAUUGUCAAAGAAUCACGAGGGAAAAUUGUAAGACCACAUACAACAAUCGAAAAUAGGAGAGUUGGGGGAGAGAUGCAUGCUGACCUUUGCAGCCAUCCUGGAGGUAAGGAUUGCCUUGGAAACCUGUGGAGCAAUUGCAGAUAUAGCCAGGUGGACUGGUGGAGUCGAUACAGUCACUGUUGCCGCAUGCAUAUGAAGAAAGGUUUCUCUUAGCCUCCUCGCAGAUCUGGUUGCCGGCUACCCAGUCCAGCACGAGUGGGACGCCGUCCUUGUACUUGUCUCCAAAGGUGUGGUUGCCGAGGUCAGACUUGUUGAAGGAGAACCAGUCCUGCUCGGCAAUGAAGGCAUAGGUGCAGGGGCUGUAGUCCUUGUAGGUAGUAAGAUUGACGAAAUAGGCCAACCGGGUCGUGAAAUUGUCCAGCUUCUCCGGGAUGGUGGUCUGGCAGCAGCCGGUGCCAGAGCACGAUCCGCUUGCGAUGCUUGCCCCUUCGAGGCAGAAGGAGGCGCACCCGGUUCCUAAUGUAUAGUUGUCCCCGCCAAAGAGGUAGCCAAGGACGUUGCAGCCCAUGGUCGUGAACCUGUUCUUGGUGCUGGAUACCCAAAAUGGUUUGUCGCCAAGGGCUAGAGAAGGUUCUUCACCAGCCACCCAGUAGUCGGUACUGUUGAAACAAUCCCAGCUAAUGUAAUUCAGGAUGCGUGCUUGGCCCUGGGGCAAGAUUAUCUCCUCAAUUGUAAUGUUCCUCUCGCGGCCGCCCAAGAAAGCUCUGGGAGUCGCAGAGCCGUUAACGACUUCGCAAGUGACCUCGAAGCCUUCCCUGAAACACCCAUCGCCGAUGCCGAAGGGGUACGGGAUGCUAACACCGCCGCAUGUAUCAUUGCAACCUGGUGACACCACGUUCGGCGACGGUGGUGCCGAUGCUGCUGCAGUCGUUGUUGCUUGGAGCAGCGUCAACAACAGCAGCUUAAACGCGAUCGGUGGCAGCGUGGAUCCCAUCGCUUAUGCUUGCUUGAAAUUAAUGGUACCCUUAGGCUUCCAUCAGAUUUAUAAGCCCACAGAUGGAAAAGCGAGCAUAAUUCCUCGUUCAACUGUUGUUGCUUAGAAUAAUUGCUUGAUCGAAUCCUCGUUCUGCAGCCCAAGUGAAGACUUGUCAAGGCGAAGCCAUCACACGGCAAAUACAAGAAGACCCUGUCGCUUGGAAAACUGGACAGUGACUGGUACAGAUCCCGUCCAAGUCUUCUUUAAGAUUCCUGAAGGUUGGAGCUGUGAUCGGUACAGGAGUCCUCCUCGCAGUUUUGACUCUGGAAUCCACACCCAACCGUAGACUUGCUUGCUUAAUCCAAGAUACAAAUAAUUAUUGCCAAAUUUUCAGUAAAAGCCCCUCUCUCUCUCUCUCUCUCUCUCUCUCUCUCUCUCUCUCUCUCUAUAGUUUUAUCCCUGCUUAAUGCUCGCUGAUUNNNNNNNNNNNNNNNNNNNNCUCUCUCUCUCUCUCUCUCUCUCUCUCUCUCUCUCUCUCUCUAUAGUUUUAUCCCUGCUUAAUGCUCGCUGAUUGGCAUGGUCGAGAGGUGGAAUAUUUAGCUACUCAAAGAUGGCGACAUGCUAUUUGUACUGUGUUUUAACAAUUAAGGCCAAUAAAGUUGAUGAGUAUUAUUAAUUAUGUGAAAUCCUACGUAUUAUAUUAUGAAUUUGUUUAAAAGCAUUAUUACAUUAAACGGAGUAUAAGAUGCUCACAUGAAUUCGAAUCAAGAUCCAUCAAUUGUGAAACCAUGCAGUAACCAUUAGAAUGUCUCUAUAAAUAUAUUAUAUCAAGUAGUUAGUCACAAAUUUGGUUAUAGUUUGGUUCAGUCGUCUAAUGGAAACUACUCCGAAAGACAAACAAAGAAGAAGAAAGAGAAAGACAUUGAAUUUAUGUAGUUCCUAUCAUCAUCAUCAUCAUCUUAGCUUCUUAAUUGCCAUUUUUGAAAUGAUCAAAAGUCAAACAAGCCACCAUCUCAAAAUUUAUAGUCGGAGAAAAAACAAGAGAGCUAGAAGUAAGUAAGGAAUUUGACCGGGUCAAAUUUGAUUAUUCUAUUGAAUGAGGAAUCCGUAAAUAUAAAAAUAAAUGGGUUAUUUGAAGAAAUUUUUAUAUAUCUCGUUAUCACGAGAAGUAGUCAUCAAAUUUGUCACCACUAUGUCCUAUUUUGGAUAUGAGAGUUCAUGAGAAUAUAGCGUAUGAGUAUAGCCAACUAUUUUUAAAAGCGAAAGAAAUAUUAUUACGAUGAUAAUAUAUUUUUAAAAAAAUAAAAUAUAUUUUUAUUAUAUUAAAUGACAUUUCACAUGUGAAUUUGAAUCUUAGACUCAUUAUUGGAAGUUCACAUGUGAAUUUGAACACAUAGCCAACUACUUUUAAAAGCGAAAGAAAUAUUAUUACGAUGGUAACAUAUUUUUAAAAAAUAAAAUAUAUUUUUAUUAUAUUAAAUGAUAUUUCACGUGUGAAUUUGAAUCUUAGACUCAUUAUUGGAUGUUCACAUUGUGAAUUUGAAUGCGAGAUUCAUUUAUCGAGCGUUCACUUCAACCUGAAACUUAUUAUUAUAUAAUAAUACGUUAACCAAUCAGAUAUUUUUAGAGACGAUAGCAAUAUGUUUCAUACUGCUUCAUAUUGGAGCCAUUCAUAUCCUCAUUAUUCACAUCAAUAAUUUUUUAUUUUGGAAUUUAUUACGAAUGCUCUCAGCUGCUACAUAGCAUACUGUUAGAAUCCAUAAUAUUCUUAAUUAUCAAGAAGCCAACAGAGAAUAAAUAAGUUAGAGGAGAAGCACCAAAUUAAAUAUUUUUUUUAUCCUGCUAAUAUUGUCUUUUCAACAAAGGAAGUGUUGCCAUUUUACUUGGAAGUUCUUCAUCUUCCAACUUCUAUAUCAAAUCCUAUUUUGUUCUGUAAACUAUGGUGUCCUGUAGUGUGUAAGGUGGGAACCGUUGAUGAUUCACCAAGCAGUCUUUCACACUCUUCAGGAACAUGUUGCAUCGAAGAGCGUUGUUGGAGAGCCCUCUUCGCGUAUAUGGAGCUUCUCGGCCAAUUCUCUCAUUGGAGGAGGCCUUUUUAUCUCCCUCAACAUUCAACACUCCUUUGCAAGCUCGGCAAUUACUUGGAGGAUAUCCAUGCUCUCCUCCCCUGUGAUUCGAUCAUCCAACAUCUCAUCAAGCUUGUUAUCUUUUAAAAUUCACAACUUGUGUUCAGCCAGUCGACAAGCUUCAAAAUCGUGAUUCUUUCAAGAAGAUCAAUGGAAUCCAUAACAUUAUGAGGACAAAAAGAAUAGAACUUCUGGAUUCGAAACUGGUCCGGAUUUGACUCUGGAAUCAUUUCAAAAAUAUGCAGAUGACUUCAAGGAGCAGUACUACUUUCACACAAUUGCAGACUUUGAUGUAAUAUCUGGUCAACAGGAACCAUCAGUAGAGAAUAUUGAUGGUGAAUAUUGGCGGAUAGUAGAGAAGCCAACUGAGGAGAUUGAGGUGCUAUUCUAGAUCACACAAACCGUAACGAAUCUAGUUGUGCACUAGUGUUUCUGUUGAUUAUAGUAUUAUUAGAUGCAUUUCAUACUUCGCAUAAAAUUGCAAAAAUAUCUGGACUUGUCUCUUCUUCCAAUUCGAAGAACAACCAGACUUGCUUCACAAUCUUGUAAUAGCUUUUUGCCUUAUCUUUUCUCUCUGCAUGAAUGUUAUCUUGGGAAGAUGAUGUUUUCUAGCUUAUUUUCUUUCAGAAAUUCAACUGGAAAGUAUUCAGCAUGUCUGAUGUUUACUGGUGUGUUCAGAGGCCCAGAAGAGUUUGUUCUCACUUUCCCUCGAGCUUAUCACGCUGGUUUUAAUUGUGGAUUCAAUCGUGCAGAAGCUGUAAAUAUGGCUCCUCUUGAUUGGUUACCUCAUGGGCAGAAUGCUGUGGAACUUUAUCGUGAACAGGGACGAAAAAUAUCAAUAUCCCUUUCAACUGGAGCUGCAAGGGAAGCUGACUUGUUUUCAAGGCAGUCAGAUUGUGAUGAUAAGACAACUUCCCAUGCUCACAAGGAUAAAAUUCUUCUAGUGCCCCAGACUAAUGUGUUGUUGGCAAACGAAAAUGAUCUGUUGGCUGGCCUGCAUGUUUCUCGUAAUAGGUUAAUGAUGAUGACCAGGUAGAGGAAAACUGCAGAGAGGUUCUCUCCAAUUUAUGUGAUCAACAGUAGGUUGAAUUCCUUCCUGGAAGGGAAAGUGAAUGUGUGAGAUCUGCAGCCAGUGUAGUACCUGUUGCAAAAACCAAGUGCAGAUAUUUUGCCUGCAUAUGAAGCAUCUGAUUGUGUUACUGAACCUAUUCAUCCUCAAAUUAUCCAGAAUUAUGGAAGAGGAGAACCAAAAGAUAAAAGCCAGAAGGGACAAGCUGAGUUCAAUUCUGAGGCUAACAUUGAUAGAGGCAAUUCAUCUACUGAAAUCCAACCUUGUACACAAAGAAAUCUUGAUAUAUGUAACUAUGAGCAGAUGGGCCCUCGAUUGGAAAUGGUGGUGCAAAAGUAACUGCAAUAUUGAGGUUUUGGCAUAUGGUAUUGUGCUUUCUGGAAAGUUUGCUGUUGAUGUUGGGAACAGGAUUCUUGAUUCAUUUCAGGAAAGUUUCUGCUGGAUUUGAAAGUUACUCGGGACAUAAAUUUUUUCUUGUUAUUGUGUACUUUUGCUUUUUGUCUCAUCAUUCACCUGAUAUUUGUCUCAUUAUGCAGGAUAUAGAAGUCAAGUUAAAUACAUUAGCAUUUUAGAUCCAACACAGAUGUGUUACUGUGUAUCUGAAAUUUUGGAUGUUGGAUUACUUGGACUUCUAUUGACAGUGAGUAAUUUUGUCUCUUUGUACCUAUGUCACUGUUUAUGUCAACCAUGCAUCCAGACAUUGUACAUGAUGCUAGAUUAAGAAGCAUCAUUGUAAGUUAUUAUCACAGUAUAAGCAUGACACAUUUUAUCAGUAAGUUGAUCUUAGUAGUCCUUUUGAAUUUAUUCCUUAUCAACUAGUUCACGAUUGAAUUUAUUCGAUGUGUUUGGUGCACCCAUGAAACACAAGAUUCUUCAUUAUUGCAAUAGCAGACUUGUUAUCAUAGUAGAUUUUAGUUAGUCCAUCUUAUUUUUGUUGGAGAUCUAUUAGAAUUCUUACGAGACAAAUUAUUCGACAUGCUAUACUUGUAGUUGCAAUAUGCUCCGCCUCUCUUAAUGUAUCUAAGAACUUUGCUCGCUAAGACUAUCCGUGCAUGAAUCUAUAUAGCAAACCAAAUGCAAAUAUAAUAUCCUAUCUUGAAUGUGUAAGAUAAAUAAACUCUCUAAUUAAACUUGUAUAUUGUUGUUUUUUCAACUCUAUCAUUUAAUAUGGAGUAUUCAUUGGUUUAUAAGUCAUCAUAUAACAUUGUUUUAACAAAUCUUUAGUAUAUUUUAUACUUACUUUGUGUUUUUUCUUUUUGCCAAAAAAAAAAAGGGAAUCAUUUUGGAUAUGCAUGGGAAGCAUGUAAGCCUGCUGUUGUUUUUGUCUUGAUGCAUACACAUGACUUUAAAUUAUUUGGCAGAGAGACUUAGGUUGACUUGUAUCUAAUUUUUGUUAAAUAUCACAUCUUAUAAUUUGUCGUACCCUAAAUCUCUUAGCUUCUUUUACCUCUACCUUUAUCUCCUCCUCUCUUCUUCUUGUUAUUUCUAAAUUAGUAUUUCAUGAGCCAUCUAUUUUCAGUACUUUGAUUUCAACUACCACAAAUAAUCUUACCUUGAAUAGGACUCUUAAAUCAAUAUCUAAUCUAAUCAUAAAGCUUAAGUUAAUAUUCCAAUACUUCCUUCAAACUCGAGUUUUACAUAGAAAAAGAAAUACAGAUUACAAUACUGAGAGUUACAAUCCAUUAUAUAUUUAUUUAUCAUUCCUGUAAUAGAAGUAACACAAGUUACAAAACAAGCAACCAAGAACAGUCUGUUGUUCUACUAGUUCGAUUUGAAAAUAGAGAGAGAACCUUGUUUCUGUAUCUUCUUCAUCUUCCAGCUUUUACAUCAAAUCUCAAUUUGUUCUCUAAACUGUGGUACCCGACAGAAUCCAAGGUAGAGCUCAUAGAUGAUUCACCAAGCAAUGCUUCACAUUCCUCGGGUGCAUGGUGUGUUGAAGAGACCUGUAGGAACCCUCCUAACAUAUGCAGUUUCUCAGCCACUUCUCUCAUUGUAGGUCGUUCAUCCCCCUUGAUGUUCAAACAUUCCUUUGCAAUCUCGGCAAUUUCUUGGAUGAUGUCCAUGUUUUCUUUCCCCGUGAUUUGAUCAUCCAAUAUCUCUUCAAGUCGGCUAUCUUUCAUUGCUUCAAUGAAGCUUGAGGCAAGACCUUUUCCUUGAUUGCUCCCAUCAUAAUAAAUUGCCUUUUUCCUUGUGACGAGCUCCACCAAAACCACUCCAAAGCUAUAGACAUCACUCUUUGCUGUCAGUUGACGGACUAGCAAGUACUCUGGGUCCAAAUAACCAAGAGUUCCCUGGACCAUCGUUAUGAAUUGGGUUUCGUCUAUAGAUAUCAUCCUCGAUGCACCAAAAUCCGAUACUUUUGGCAUGUAAUUAUGAUCUAGAAGUAUGUUGAGCGACUUCACAUCUCCAUGAACGAUCGGAGGGGAUGCCGAUGAAUGCAAGUAAGCGAGUGCUUCUGCAGAUUCUCUGGCUAUUCGUAGACGAGUAGUCAAGGGAAUUAGUUUCUCAUUAUUGUCAUGGAUGAAGUCAAAGAGGGUUCCAUUGGGGAUGAACUCAUAAACCAACAUGGGAAUUUCCACUUCCAAGCAACAACCCAAGAGCCUUACAAUGUUCUUGUGAUUGAUCUGAGAAAGAAUAAUCAUCUCCCGUACGAAUUCUUCACUUUGGUCCUCGGUGACUACCUUAGACCUCUUGAUGGCCACUUCCUUGUCACCGUCUAUGUUUCCUUUAUAAACGGUGCCAUGGCCUCCUCGUCCAAGUUCUCGACUCUUAUCGAAAUUAUCUGUUGCUUUCUCUAGAUCAUCUUUAGUGUAUAUUUUGACAGUAUCAAUUUUCUUUGAUCUGAUUUCUUCGUAUAACCUCAAGCCUCCAUUUUGCUGGAAGAAUUUAUCUUUUUCUCCUAGAAGCUUCCUUCUUUGAAAUGCUAAGAUUAUGCAGAAGAUGCAAGUAAUGAACGAGACAAGCCCAACACAACUGCCUGCACAAAGGGAUGAGUUUCAUAUCAAUUAUUUUGCUAACUCUUUCGGAGAUCGAAUUCCAAGUUUCCAAAAUAGAAGAUUGUUACCGACGAGGCCUAUUAAUGAAGAUCAAAAGGAUAAGAAAUUUCAAGCUUUUUUUUUAAGUAGGAUGACUUAAUCGAAAUAAAAACUCGAAUCCGAAUAGAUUAUUUGUUUCUUCAGAUUGAAGUUUUAAGAGAAGGUUUAAGCUAAUACGGAAGGAAGGAUGAGAACUUGUACCUAUAACAAUCUUCGUUGAUGUCGGAAUUCGUUGCCGUGGGACACAUGGUUCCGAUUUAGGGUCCUUGCUGCUGUGACCUUUUGGGCAUGAGCAGCUGUAGUUGCCUAAUGUGUUGCUGCACUUUCCAUAACAUGGAUACUGAUUUGGUAAGCUGCACUCGUCGAUAUCUAAGGAUUGUCAAAGAAUCACAAGGAUAAAUUGUAAGACCAUAUACAACAAUCGAAAACAGGAGAGUUGGGGGAGAGAUGCAUGCCGACCUUUGCAUCCAUCUCGGAGGUAAGGAUUGCCUUGGAAACCUGUGGAGCAAUUGCAGAUAUAGCCUGCUAAACUGGUGGAGUUGAAACAUUCACUGUUGGUGCUGCGGCAUGC
rnacentral:lncRNA from 1 species